rnacentral:rRNA from 1 species
CCUACGGGAGGCAGCAGUGAGGAAUAUUGGUCAAUGGACGCAAGUCUGAACCAGCCAUGCCGCGUGCAGGAAGACGGCUCUCUGAGUUGUAAACUGCUUUUGUACGAGGGUAAACGCAGAUACGCGUAUCUGUCUGAAAGUAUCGUACGAAUAAGGAUCGGCUAACUCCGUGCCAGCAGCCGCGGUAAUUCGGAGGAUUCAAGCGUUAUCCGGAUUUAUUGGGUUUAAAGGGUGCGUAGGCGUUCGGAUAAGUUAGAGGGGAAAUCCCGAGGCUCAACUUCUGAAUUGCGUCUGAUACUGUUCGGCUAGAGAGUAGUUGAGGUAGGCGGAAUGUAUGGUGUAGCGGUGAAAUGCUUAGAGAUCAUACAGAACACCGAUUGCGAAGGCAGCUUACCAAGCUACUUCUGACGUUGAGGCACGAAAGCGUGGGGAGCAAACAGGAUUAGAUACCCGUGUAGUC